rnacentral:lncRNA from 1 species
AUAUGCCCCUGACUGGAGAGAAGCCCAGGUUGGCUGCCUACAAUCAGAGUCCACAUAUGUUCGGGGGAGGGACCCCAGAAGGCGGCUGACAGUAUUCCUUUAGCCAGAAAUCCCUUCAGGGAAGAGAAAGGUGCUCCCCUUUGCCUGCUUUUAUACUACAGACUGUUUCCAACUCCAGCUAGAAGUGACUAUUGCCGAUUAUGCUAAUCAGUGGCGACAAGCUCCCUUUGACUGCUCACUUCUCCAGUGAGGCUUCAAGCUUCUAGGCAUCAAGAUUAUAUUUUCCAGAAAAUAUUUCAAGCAGAAUAUACUUAUUUUCCAGUUUUGAAAACAACUAGAUUGCCCAUCUCCAUUUCUCUCUAUCAUCUACUGUAUUAUUCUAUGGACAACUGCCACCCUAAUAAGCUCAAAGGAAACCAUGAGAGACUGUCUAACUAGACUUUUUGCUUGAUUUCCUGGACCCAAGAGCAGGAGUGAGGAGCUUUCUCCUGGUAAUUUUGUUAUAGAGCAAUCAAUGAGCUUGCUUCCUCAUGCACAUGGAGGCCAACACCAUGACAAAGGCUUUUGAGAAAAGAAAAGCUUUAUGGAGACCUGACUGGCAAGGAAACAGAAGAAAAUUCUCAUUUCUGUCUCUCUGAGCUGGGGUCUGGACCAGAUUUUAUAUGCAUAGGGUCAAGAAGGGAAGCCAGAAGUCAAGGCCACAGAAGACACAGGAAACAUCAUUUCCAAAGUGGGAGACAAAGCUGUUAACAGGAAAUUAUUUGUAAAGUCAAGAGCCAAGCAAAACAGAAAAAGGACAAGAAAUCUAUCACCUUAUUCAUUAGGUGAAUUGACUACAAAAUGGACUGCACUGAAAACACAUCACAUGAUUUCAUCGAGGAGAUAGGAAACUUGAAUCCUUACUAAUGAGAAGGAAAGAUUAGUUAUAAAUAAAGAACAUAUAGCCAGCUACAUUACAUUCCUAGAUGCCUGAGUUUCUAUCAAUAGUGCAAUUUUUUGAUGAAACACAUAGAAAAUAUCAACAUGGCAAACUCUGAGAUGUUACCUGGCGCCCUUCCACCAAAAAGGAUUUCUACCUCCUUUUCAAGACUGAUUCAUCUCUAGUUCACAAACAAUCUAGCACUGAAAUAUUUCAGGUACCCACUCCUCUGAGGUCAUUGUAAAAGCGAAGAAUGAGACAACACCAUAUAAAAGAAAAUUGUGUCACCUUUUCAGCAAAUAAAAAGUUCAGUCUCAA